rnacentral:rRNA from 1 species
AAUCAACGCUGGCGGCGUGCCUAACACAUGCAAGUCGAACGAGAAAGUGGAGCAAUCCAUGAGUAAAGUGGCGACCGGGUGAGUAACACGUGACUAACCUACCCUUGAAUGGGGAAUAACCUUCCGAAAGGAGGGCUAAUACCGCAUAAAGUCCUAAGGAUGAAACGCCUAAGGACCAAAGGAGCAAUUCGUUUAAGGAGGGGUCGCGGUUGAUUAGCUAGUUGGUGGGGUAAGUGGCCCACCAAGGCGAUGAUCAAUAGCCGGCCUGAGAGGGCGCACGGCCACACUGGAACUGAAACAACGGUCCAGACUCCUACGGGAGGCAGCAGUGGGGAAGUUUUGCGCAGUGGGGGAAACCCUGACGCAGCAACGCCGCGUGAAGGAUGAAGGUCUUUGGAUUGUUAAACUUCUUUCGAUCGGGAAGAUAAUGACGGUACCGAGAGAAGAAGCCCCGG